GCCACCUACCGUACUGGAUCAACACUAAUUAAAGAUGGAUGACGUGGACAGCAAUCAGACGAUGCAUAUAAAAAUCCAAAAAGGCAGAUACCUGCCCGAAUUGAAGAGAUGCACCACAUGCUGCAAGGACUUUCACUGCCCAUUCUGUAGUUCAGCUUUGUUCCACCCAUCAAAGUUGAGCAAGAUCAGAACCCAUUUAGAGAGCCAUUUCAAUCGUGCAGUUAUCCAUGAAGGGUAUACCAUUCACAGAUGUGGGUUACACUGCCGACCACAGUUGCAUUACUACUAUAUCCACUGCCAGUGAAUGCUGUUACGUAAAUCUGAUUUUAUUAAACACUUGUCUUCGUGCAAGGAGAAGCACCCUGACAUAACCAGCACAAUCCCAGCUCUGACAUUGACAACCAUCCCAUCUCCAAAAAAGAUCAAGUUGGCAGUUCCAACAACAGCAACCAACACCAUCCCAGAUCCAUUUACAAAAACCACCACCAUGCCAGAUCCAGCAAUUACAACCACCACCACUCUGCCAUCAACCCCAAGUGAACAGAUGCAAAGGGUCUGUGUGAAGACAAAACUAAAGAAAAAGUGUCCCAUAUGCCACCAUCUCAUGCAUAAGACAAAUUUAAAGAGGCACAUAGAAAGGAA